UACAGGGGGUGCAAACGUUGCUCGGAAUUAUUGGGCGUAAAGCGCGCGUAGGCGGCCACUUAAGUCGGAUGUGAAAGCCCCUGGCUCAACUGGGGAAGUGCACCCGAAACUGAAUGGCUUGAGUGCGAAAGAGGGUCGCGGAAUUCCCGGUGUAGAGGUGAAAUUCGUAGAUAUCGGGAGGAACACCGGUGGCGAAGGCGGCGACCUGGGUCGACACUGACGCUGAGGCGCGAAAGCGCGGGGAGCAAACAGG
rnacentral:rRNA from 1 species